rnacentral:rRNA from 1 species
GACGAACGCUGGCGGCGUGCUUAACACAUGCCAGUCGAACGGAAAGGCCCUGCUUUUGUGGGGUGCUCGAGUGGCGAACGGGUGAGUAACACGUGAGUAACCUGCCCUUGACUUUGUGAUAACUUCAGGAAACUGGGGCUAAUACCGCAUAGGAGCUCCUGCUGCAUGGUGGUGGUUGGAAAGUUUCGGCGGUUGGGGAUGGACUCGCGGCUUAUCAGCUUGUUGGUGGGGUAGUUGCUUACCAAGGCUUUGACGGGUAGCCGGCCUGAGAGGGUGACCGGCCACAUUGGGACUGAGAUACGGACCAGACUGCUACGGGAGGCAGCGGUGGGGAAUAUUGCACAAUGGGCGGAAGCCUGAUGCAGCAACGCGGCGUGCGGGAUGACGGCCUUCGGGUUGUAAACCGCUUUCGCCUGUGACGAAGCGUGAGUGACGGUAAUGGGUAAAGAAGCACCGGCUAACUACGUG